GCAGAGAGGCCCCGGCCCCGGCUGGGCUCCUGCCCCACGUGCCAGGGUUGGCUGCCCUCCGCUCUUCCGCCUGGCACGCAGCUCUGGUUGCCAGGUCAUGCCUACUCCCUAGCUCGGGAGAGGGCACUCGGCCAAAUCCAGGGGCUGGAGGGGUUGGACUUGAACGUGAAGGAUCCCCCGGCACAGCCUCGCCUGGCAAGUUGGACUCCGGCUGUCCCCCCAGGUGAAGCAGGAGCAGCGUUCCAUGCAGCCACCUUCCGGCCCCGACAGGCAGCUGCUUGUGCCCUAAGCUCUGCACCCCACGGAGUGUCCCUCAGCCAUGACCCUGAGCCCCGGCAGUGACCAUCUGUUGGCAUCUCUGUCGCCACCAUCAGACGGUGAGUUUCCCCUGGCCUAAAGCAGGGGUAUGAAAUGUCAACAAAAGCAAUCAAACCCUUACAUAUCAAAGAAGGAAAAGGCAAGACAGGAGCCCGCUGUGCCUCAGAGAGCAGCCCUAGGAAGACGGGCAGGCUGGGGCCUGUGCACCUCUGAGGACCCGGAUGGGGCAGAUGGGGCCUCAGAGGAAGUGCUGGGCUCUUAGGAGAUGGUCAUGGAACCAGCCCAAGGGCGAGCACCAGCCACUGGCCACGAGGCCUCCGAGGCCCCUGGUGUCGAGUGGGUCUGGCUCUAGCCCUCAGCGGGGCUGUCGUGAGCAGGGAAGAAGUGGCUGCCAAGCCGGCCACACGGAGCUUCCUCCCCAGCCGGCCACAAACCAGGCUUUCACUCAGCUCUCCCAGUCCACAUCCUCCCCGGCUGCCCCAGACGCACCCAUGCAAGCCUGGUCUGACUGGCAGUCUGCAGAGGUGCCCCUGAGCCCCAAAUCCCUGGCACACCGCUGCGGAGGCUCAGAACGGCUCCCCCACCCCAUCCUCUCCUGACCCCAUUUCACAGAUGGGAACCAAGCCCCGGGGACAGGCAGACAUGCCCCCCCCCCCGGCCCCCAGGUGGAGGGCGCUAGGUCCAGGCCGCAGCCCCAGGAGGAGGAAAGCUGGCUGAGAGAGGAGCAAAUUCCUCCACCUGGGUCCUGGGCGUGUGGGGGAGGGAGGGGUGGAAUUUUCCGGGAAUCUGACGUUCCCAUCGACCUGUGGGCCACGGAGCCCCGAGGAACCCGGGAUCCACUGUGGGCAGCACGGAGGGGAGGGCUCUGGGGGGAGGCUUUGCAAGGCGCCUGAAGUUGGAGAGACCGCGGUUCAAAUCCUGAGCUCAGGACACGCCAUGGCUCCUCCUGAGCCUCAGUUUCCCCAUCUGCCCCACCGGGACCUCGCGGUUGAGGCUUACACCCCUGAGGAAGCCGCGGGAGCUACACGUGCGUUUCCACCUCGGUGUUCGCGGAACCCCAGAAAGUUCAAGGCUGCCACAGGCUACGCUCUUACCCUCCAACUCCCCCCGAACACCCCCGGCGCCGGCCCCCGCAGAAAACAGCGGAGCGCCCGGAACAGGCACUGCAGGCAGAAAAGGAGAAACCUGGCCGGCGGAGGAGGAGAGGCGGAGGCGGGGACCAGGGCAGGGAAGGGACCCCUACCUGGCGCGGGCGCCCCAGGGUCCGCAGGCAGAACCGGGGGCGGC